rnacentral:rRNA from 1 species
CGGCCAGGCGACGACCGGCGCACGGGUGAGUAUCGCGUUUGUAACCUACCUCUGACUGGAGGAUAGGGCGAGAGAAAUUCGGAUUAAUACUCCAUAAUACUAUGGACAGGCAUCUGUUCAUGGUUAAAGCCCCGGCGGUCAGAGAUGGGCAUGCGUGACAUUAGCUUGUUGGUGAGGUAACAGCUCACCAAGGCUACGAUGUCUAGGGGGUCUGAGAGGAUGGUCCCCCACACUGGUACUGAGACACGGACCAGACUCCUACGGGAGGCAGCAGUGAGGAAUAUUGGUCAAUGGGCGAAAGCCUGAACCAGCCAUGCCGCGUGAAGGAUGACAGCCCUAUGGGUUGUAAACUUCUUUUGUACGGGAAGAAACGCUUCUACGUGUAGAGGUUUGACGGUACCGUACGAAUAAGCAUCGGCUAACUCCGUGCCAGCAGCCGCGGUAAUACGGAGGAUGCAAGCGUUAUCCGGAUUUAUUGGGUUUAAAGGGUACGUAGGCGGGAGCUUAAGUCAGUGGUGAAAUCCUGCAGCUUAACUGUAGAACUGUCAUUGAUACUGGGCUUCUUGAAUGUAGUUGAGGUAAGGCGGAAUGUGUAAUGUAGCGGUGAAAUGCUUAGAUAUUACACAGAACACCGAUUGCGAAGGCAGCUUACUAAACUACGGAUUGACGCUGAGGUACGAAAGCGUGGGGAGCGAACAGGAUUAGAUACGCUGGUAGUCCACGCUGU